rnacentral:rRNA from 1 species
UUUUAUGGAGAGUUUGAUCCUGGCUCAGAGUGAACGCUGGCGGCGUGCCUAAUACAUGCAAGUCGAACGAUGAAGCUUCUAGCUUGCUAGAAGUGGAUUAGUGGCGCACGGGUGAGUAAGGUAUAGUUAAUCUGCCCUACACAAGAGGACAACAGUUGGAAACGACUGCUAAU